rnacentral:rRNA from 1 species
UGGGGAAUCUUGCGCAAUGGGCGAAAGCCUGACGCAGCGACGCCGCGUGUGGGAUGAAGGUCUUCGGAUUGUAAACCACUGUCGGGAGGGACGAAGCUCUGACGGUACCUCCAAAGGAAGCACCGGCUAACUCUGUGCCAGCAGCCGCGGUAAUACAGAGGGUGCGAGCGUUGUCCGGAAUCACUGGGCGUAAAGGGCGCGUAGGCGGCCUGGUAAGUAGGGGGUGAAAUCUCGAUGGCUCAACUGUGAGGCUGCCUUCUAGACUGCUGGGCUUGAGCACGGUAGAGGCUGGUGGAAUUCCCGGUGUAGAGGUGAAAUUCGUAGAUAUUAGGAAGAACACCAGUGGCGAAGGCGGCUCACUGGAUCGGUACUGACGCUGAGGUGCGAAAG